rnacentral:rRNA from 1 species
CAAAAACAUUGCCUCUUGCUCUCUAAUAAAAGGUUCAUCCUGCCCAGUGACUGAGUUCAACGGCCGCGGUACCCUGACCGUGCAAAGGUAGCAUAAUCACUCGCCUUUUAAUUGAAGGCUAGUAUGAAUGGACAAACGAGGGCCCACCUGUCUCUUUUGUAUUUAUAAAAAUUAUCCUUCAGGUGAAGAGACCUGAAUUUGAUAAAAGGACAAGAAGACCCUGUUGAGCUUUAUUUUUCUAAUAGACCUACUAACUCCAGCAAUACACCACCUCUAUUAUAUAAAUUUAGUUGGGGCGACUGAGGAACAUUUAAAGCUUCCUUUUUUUUUAUAGACUGUCAAGUCCUUUAUGAUCCAGACUACCUGAUCAAAGAAUCGAGCUACCACAGGGAUAACAGGCUAAUCCUCCUUGAGAGCCCACAUUGACAGGAGGGAUUGGCACCUCGAUGUUGGCUUAGGGAUCCCCAAAGGUGCAGCAGCCUUUAAAGGUAGGUUUGUUCAACCUUUAAUACCCUACGUGAUCUGAGU